CGAGUUCUCGUUGAUGAUCGGUGCUUGCACCGAGAUUCAACAUGGAACGAGUGGCGGACGGGUGAGUAACACGUGGGUAACCUGCCCUUAAGUGGGGGAUAACAUUUGGAAACAGAUGCUAAUACCGCAUAGAUCCAAGAACCGCAUGGUUCUUGGCUGAAAGAUGGCGUAAGCUAUCGCUUUUGGAUGGACCCGCGGCGUAUUAGCUAGUUGGUGAGGUAAUGGCUCACCAAGGCGAUGAUACGUAGCCGAACUGAGAGGUUGAUCGGCCACAUUGGGACUGAGACACGGCCCAAACUCCUACGGGAGGCAGCAGUAGGGAAUCUUCCACAAUGGACGCAAGUCUGAUGGAGCAACGCCGCGUGAGUGAAGAAGGCUUUCGGGUCGUAAAACUCUGUUGUUGGAGAAGAAUGGUCGGCAGAGUAACUGUUGUCGGCGUGACGGUAUCCAACCAGAAAGCCACGGCUAACUACGUGCCAGCAGCCGCGGUAAUACGUAGGUGGCAAGCGUUAUCCGGAUUUAUUGGGCGUAAAGCGAGCGCAGGCGGUUUUUUAAGUCUGAUGUGAAAGCCCUCGGCUUAACCGAGGAAGCGCAUCGGAAACUGGGAAACUUGAGUGCAGAAGAGGACCAGUGGAACUCCAUGUGUAGCGGUGAAAUGCGUAGAUAUAUGGAAGAACACCAGUGGCGAAGGCGGCUGUCUGGUCUGUAACUGACGCUGAGGCUCGAAAGCAUGGGUAGCGAACAGGAUUAGAUACCCUGGUAGUCCAUGCCGUAAACGAUGAAUGCUAGGUGUUGGAGGGUUUCCGCCCUUCAGUGCCGCCGCAGCUAACGCAUUAAGCAUUCCGCCUGGGGAGUACGACCGCAAGGUUGAAACUCAAAGGAAUUGACGGGGGCCCGCACAAGCGGUGGAGCAUGUGGUUUAAUUCGAAGCAACGCGAAGAACCUUACCAGGUCUUGACAUCUUUUGAUCACCUGAGAGAUCAGGUUUCCCCUUCGGGGGCAAAAUGACAGGUGGUGCAUGGUUGUCGUCAGCUCGUGUCGUGAGAUGUUGGGUUAAGUCCCGCAACGAGCGCAACCCUUAUGACUAGUUGCCAGCAUUUAGUUGGGCACUCUAGUAAGACUGCCGGUGACAAACCGGAGGAAGGUGGGGAUGACGUCAAAUCAUCAUGCCCCUUAUGACCUGGGCUACACACGUGCUACAAUGGAUGGUACAACGAGUUGCGAGACCGCGAGGUCAAGCUAAUCUCUUAAAGCCAUUCUCAGUUCGGACUGUAGGCUGCAACUCGCCUACACGAAGUCGGAAUCGCUAGUAAUCGCGGAUCAGCACGCCGCGGUGAAUACGUUCCCGGGCCUUGUACACACCGCCCGUCACACCAUGAGAGUUUGUAACACCCGAAGCCGGUGGCGUAACCCUUUUAGGGAGCGAGCCGUCUAAGGUGGGACAAAUG
rnacentral:rRNA from 2 species